ACCUCAAAUCAGGUAGGACUACCCGCUGAACUUAAGCAUAUCAAUAAGCGGAGGAAAAGAAACUAACAAGGAUUCCCCUAGUAACUGCGAGUGAAGCGGGAAAAGCUCAAAUUUAAAAUCUGGCAGUCUUUUGGCUGUCCGAGUUGUAAUCU
rnacentral:rRNA from 1 species